AUGAGUAAUGGAGGCAAGAGAUACUUUAAUAAGAAGAACAAGAGUGGAAACUGGUUUAUUCACACUGGUGUGUCACAGACUGGACAAACACGUGAUCUGUGCACCAGCACAGGUUCAAUGCUGGCACAUGGAGUUCCUCAAGCCCUGACACAAGCAGAGGAGAGAUAUCCCAAAAUAUUCAUCAAUCCUGAAAAGAAAACAAUGGGCAGAGAAUAUCCACUGUCAGCACACGAUAACCGCACAGCACUGGAGCACUCUGUUGACGUGUAUGAUCAGGGUUUUGGCCGCAAAAAAUGUUUUGAUGAGCGUCGCCAGCAUAACUCUCAUUUCUACCUGUGCCAUUAUGAUGAAGCCUUGAGUCCACUUAGCACAGCAGAGUGGGACCACUCGGCUUAUCAAACCGACUUCCUGCCUAAACAGGAAACAGAGGGCAGAGAAGACACACUCAGAAGACGCUUCCCCAAAGAUCACUCAGCGAAGUCUCAAAUGAACACUACGGCUCAGGCUGGGGAGUGUUUCAUGUGGUUUGGGAGGGAUGACUCUAUCCAGAACACUCCACUAAGUGUACUAGCAGUCGCCAACCUCUCAUUAACCCCCUAAAUAACACAAUCAGAGAUGAUCAGACAGCAGUCAAUGUUUGUGCACUAAGCAUGAUACUCUAGAGUCAUUGUCUGCUUUAACCAGCAGAGGUCAGUGUCCUUUUUGUCUGUCUGUAAACUGGUCAACUGGCAAGAUCACUACUAUAGCUUUGCAGGGUCACAAAUUCUGAAAUCUGUAAAGAGUAUCAGUGUUGAAUGUGAUAUACUGUAUAAUAAGAAAAAAUAAACAUUUUCAGCUCAGUCGUAUGAAAAAGAAU
ensembl:lncRNA